GACGAACGCUGGCGGUGUGCUUCACACAUGCAAGUCGAACGAGGUAGCAAUACCUAGUGGCGGACGGGUGAGUAACGCGUGGGAAUCUGCCUUUGGAUGGGGGAUAACGGGUCGAAAGACUCGCUAAUACCGCAUAUGACGAAAGUUGAAAGGAGUAAUCCGUCUAAAGAUGAGCCCGCGUCCGAUUAGCUAGUUGGUAGAGUAAAAGCCUACCAAGGCGACGAUCGGUAGCUGGUCUGAGAGGAUGAUCAGCCACAAUGGGACUGAGACACGGCCCAUACUCCUACGGGAGGCAGCAGUGGGGAAUUUUACGCAAUGGGCGAAAGCCUGACGUAGCGACACCGCGUGAACGAAGAAGCCCCUUGGGGUGUAAAAGCUCUGUCAGCUGGAACGAGAAAAAUGACGGUACCAGCAGAGGAAGCAUCGGCUAACUACGUGCCAGCAGCCGCGGUAAU
rnacentral:rRNA from 1 species